rfam:Flavobacterium granuli strain DSM 19729 genome assembly, contig: Ga0134107_113
CCCUAGCCCUGAUAGCAGCGGAAAUCCUUCCAGGAUGGCGUUCGGACUGGAAGAUUGUAGCGAAUAGCGGGAAGGAGC